rnacentral:rRNA from 1 species
AAAAAAGGUAAGCUACUAAGAGCGAAUGGUGGAUGCCUUGACUGGUAAAGGCGAUGAAGGACGUACUAGACUGCGAUAAGCUACGGGGAGCUGUCAAGAAGCUUUGAUCCGUAGAUUUCCGAAUGGGGCAACCCAAUGUAUAGAGAUAUACAUUACCUAUAUAGGAGCGAACGAGGGGAAUUGAAACAUCUUAGUACCCUCAGGAAAAGAAAUCAAUAGAGAUUGCGUCAGUAGCGGCGAGCGAAAGCGCAAGAGGGCAAACCCAGUGCUUGCACUGGGGGUUGUAGGACUGCAAUGUGCAAGAGGUAAGUUUAGCAGAACAUUCUGGAAAGUAUAACCAUAGAGGGUGAUAGUCCCGUAUGCGAAAAACAAACCUUAGCUAGCAGUAUCCUGAGUAGGGCGGGACACGAGGAAUCCUGUCUGAAUCCGGGUCGACCACGAUCCAACCCUAAAUACUAAUACCAGAUCGAUAGUGCACAAGUACCGUGAGGGAAAGGUGAAAAGAACUGAGGUGAUCAGAGUGAAAUAGAACCUGAAACCAUUUGCUUACAAUCAUUCAGAGCCUUAUGUAGCAAUACAGGGUGAUGGACUGCCUUUUGCAUAAUGAGCCUGCGAGUUGUGGUGUCUGGCAAGGUUAAGCAAACGCGAAGCCGUAGCGAAAGCGAGUCUGAAUAGGGCGCUUAGUCAGAUGCUGCAGACCCGAAACGAAGUGAUCUAUCCAUGAGCAAGUUGAAGCUAGUGUAAGAACUAGUGGAGGACUGAACCCAUAGGCGUUGAAAAGCCCCGGGAUGACUUGUGGAUAGGGGUGAAAGGCCAAUCAAACUUCGUGAUAGCUGGUUCUCUCCGAAAUAUAUUUAGGUAUAGCGUUGUGUCGUAAUAUAAGGGGGUAGAGCACUGAAUGGGCUAGGGCAUACACCAAUGUACCAAACCCUAUCAAACUCCGAAUACCUUAUAUGUAAUCACAGCAGUCAGGCGGCGAGUGAUAAAAUCCGUCGUCAAGAGGGAAACAACCCAGACUACCAGCUAAGGUCCCUAAAUCUUACUUAAGUGGAAAACGAUGUGAAGUUACUUAAACAACCAGGAGGUUGGCUUAGAAGCAGCCAUCCUUUAAAGAAAGCGUAAUAGCUCACUGGUCUAGUGAUUUUGCGCGGAAAAUAUAACGGGGCUAAAGUAAGUACCGAAGCUGUAGACUUAGUUUACUAAGUGGUAGGAGAGCGUU